AUUUUUGGUUUAUGCAUGAAUUAAUCACUUUGGAAUGUCAACUGUCUUGUUUUGGUUUGUUAUUUUCCAAUUGGAAUAAAUUUCAAAUUGUUCGUUGAAAGGUGAAAGUCAAAUGGGCACACAUUGUAAUUUUGAAUUCAAUUAGGUACCACUUUUUAUUUAGGGUCAAUUCAGCCUAAUUUUUUUUACUAGAAAAAUCACAAUAAUAUUUUUUUUCAUAUUCUUGAAUAAUAAAAAAAAUCAUAUUUGAUGAAAUAUUGUCUAUUUUUUAAAAAUGAAAAAUUAAAAUUGUGAUUUUUCAUAUCCUUUAAACUUUUGAAGAAAUAGCAAGAAAGAGCUAGAGAGGAUGG
rnacentral:misc_RNA from 1 species